AACCCCUCCCCCUGCACUCCACCAACUAGCCCUUACGUGACCACGCCCACUUCACAGGCCAGCAAACUGAGGCUCAGCGAGGGUAGGCGGCAGGCCCAGUGUUGCAGAACUCAGGCCGUCUUCUCCACCACCCGGGCAGGCCUUGUGCUGGACACUGAUGAUAUGGAAAUGAACUGGCCAUGGCUUCUGCCCUCAAGGAGCUCUUAGUCUCAAGGAGAGACGGACAGGGAAGCGAAGGCACACAGUAUAGUAAGACAAUGGGAGGUCUGGUACAGGAUGCAUUGGAAUUUGGAGGAAGGAGCCUGCUUGGUGACAUCACAGAAGUCUUCCCAGAGGAAGUGGCAUUCAAUUGGCGAAUGAGCAAAUUAACUGUGAUGUAUCCAUAUAAUGAACUAUUAUUCAGCAAUAAAAGGAAAUCAUCUAUCUCGCCAUGAAAAGACACGGAGCGGCAUAUUGCUAAGUGAAAGAAGCCAGUCUGAAAAAACCAUGUACUGUAUGAUUCCAAUUGUAGGGCGUUCUGGAAAAAAGGAAACUUCUACAUAAGAAUGGGGCUCUAAGGACCACGGCAGCGCUGGAGCGAGGGGACGUGUCGUUUGGGUCCCCCCCCACCCCCCGGGAAGCAGACGCUGAGGUGAAGUCAGGAAUGCAAGAGAGAGAGGGCGAGGAAGCGGGCUUGGGCAGGAGAGCCUCUGAGCGGAUGCCGACCUGGCCCCUGCCGUGCUCGGGCGUUUGAGGCGGGAACCCCAAAGCUGAUGUGUAUCCGAAGGGGCCCGUCCGUCACUCACUCCUCCCAGCUGACCUUCCAGCUCUUUCUCCCUCCCAGAGUACGUGAGGUUGGCCUGGGAAAAGCCCUCACUCCCUUGUGCUACCCUCUGUUGUAACCCCGGCCCUGACGGGAGCCCUUUUGCGGGAUGAGGGGCCAGUGCACAUCCCAGCUCUGGGAGAAGCAGGUGGCAUUUACUCAUCUAGGGACGUUUCCUGAUACUGGCUCUGGGAGGGGCCCAGAAUCCAGAAAGGGCCCCUGCCCACCUGGAGUUCACGGUCGAGGGAUCUUAUAACUUUUGGGGGGCCACACACUGGGUCCUGCAGGUUAAACAAAUGUGAAGCAGAAGCCAUCCCCUCAGGCUCCAAGACACUUUAUUCUCAGAGAGACAGGGACGGGCAGCGGUGCUUGGUGGGGAA